GCCCUCGUAGUUCAACGGAUAGAACGGGGUCCUCCUAAGACUCAGAUUCAGGUUCGAUUCCUGACGUGGGUACCA
rnacentral:tRNA from 1 species